rnacentral:ribozyme from 1 species
GAAAGACUCCGACACCAAAGACACGCCACUUGAGGAAAAGAACAAGAGAGAAUCCUAGCUUGCUUUGUAAAAAGAAAAACUUCACAGUGUACUAUAGUCUAGUUUAAAAAGAAGUUACACCUCAUUGUUUGUGUAAAGUAACGUAAUUCUGGUUUCUUCUUCUUCUUCUUCUUCUUCUU